rnacentral:rRNA from 1 species
GUACGGGAGGCAGCAGUGGGGAAUUUUGGACAAUGGGGGCAACCCUGAUCCAGCCAUGCCGCGUGAGUGAAGAAGGCCUUCGGGUUGUAAAGCUCUUUCGGUAGGAACGAAACGGUUACGACUAAUACUCGUGACUAAUGACGGUACUUACAGAAGAAGCACCGGCUAACUACGUGCCAGCAGCCGCGGUAAUACGUAGGGUGCGAGCGUUAAUCGGAAUUACUGGGCGUAAAGCGUGCGCAGGCGGUUAUUUAAGUCAGGUGUGAAAGCCCUGGGCUUAACCUAGGAAUUGCGCUUGAGACUGGAUAGCUUGGAGUGCGGCAGAGGGAGGUGGGAUUCCACGUGUAGCAGUGAAAUGCGUAGAGAUGUGGAGGAACACCGAUGGCGAAGGCAGCCUCCUGGGCCAGCACUGACGCUCAUGCACGAAAGCGUGGGGAGCAAACAGGAUUAGAAACCCCAGUAGUCCU